CAUACGAUCAGGCCUUGCAACAGGAUGGGAUCUGAAGCCUCCUGUAGAUUCUAUCUAACUCCUAUUUCAACAUGUCCACGGCGUGCAGGGUGGUAACAUGGGCCUAAACCCAACCUUUUGGGCGGGUGACGGUUCAUGGCUAAGGAGGAAGGA
rnacentral:ribozyme from 1 species